rfam:Equus caballus chromosome 21, whole genome shotgun sequence.
GGGUGUGAGGAUGAUCUGGCUAUGACAUUUGUCACCCCAUUGAUCACCAGGGUUGACCUGGUUGAUCUGGCUGGCUAGAUGAGCAUGCCCUUCCUCCCUGCCCACUCCAUAUGCAUCCCUCCCAGAGCUGUGUGCUCCCUCGAAGAGGACCACCCUCCCCCGUAGAGGAGGACCAUUCUUUGGUCAAGUGUAUACACUAAUACCUGUGCUCCCCUGCUGGAACCUCCAUAUAGGCUCUCAAGGUCCAUUUGUAGGAGAAUGUAGAGUAGUCAAUGUUCCGAGACUCUAGACACAUCCAGAUGAGGUGCUGCAUGUGGCAGUCUGCCUUUCGUU